CUACCCCUCUAUUCUUCCUACCUCUCCGCAUCCUUGUUCCUUGGCCAGCAACGUGUCACGGGAUGGGGAGCAAGGCAAUCCCUAGGCCAGGGUGAACACGCAGCCAAGAACGCAGGAGCGGGAAAGGGAAGAGAACGGUAGCCGACGCUGCAGGAACGGAUUAUCAAUGGAAAUGGAAGCUGUAUCGAUUAAGUAACUGCGACACUGACUUGUGGAUGACACAAAGUUUACCCCGACACCGCGGAUUAAGCGAGUUUGUAACCCACUGAACUUAGGGCGACCAGUUUAAAGGGUGGCUCGUUAAAGGAAGCUCCAACGUGAAUUCCGGUGCUACAGAAUCAGUCCCGCAGUUAUCGUUUCCGUCGUUAAUUACGUCGGCCGGCUUUAAUGCAUCCCUUUUUCUUUAAAGUACCUUAUCUGUACGUUGCAAAGUAAUCCGUGUUUAUAGUUUCAGCGCUUGUCAAUAAAUUGCAUAUGAUUAAGUAUACAAGAUGAUUUAUCUAAUUAGAUAAUUUCGAACUAUUUGUGAAUUGUUCAUGCCACGAAGAAAUUCCUGGUACGAAGUUUAUGCAAUUUUCAAAGGAAAAUAUUUGCAAUUAAACGUCUAACAUUGUUUACAUAAUUAUUGUACCAUAUUUUCAAUGUUACAUUUUAAUUUCAAAUUACGCGAAUUAUCCUGUAUAUUAUUUCGAAUUUGCAUCGAUUCACUUAAUUUAAUUUUGAUAUUAAAUAUAUAAAUUAUUGUAUUUAUGUUUUUGGCCGAGAUCCAUUAAUUGUAAUUGGAAAUUGGAAAUACGAUAGCUACAAUGUUAAAGGAAAUCGCGAAUGUAUUAUUGGGAGAAUUCAGGAUUCGUGGAAAAGUCAUCUCGUAAUAAGUCAUUGGAUCUCGAGGAGCGUACAAGAAAGAUUCGAAUCUCGAUCUGUAACGAAUUAAACAUGGCUCGUCUAGCAUUAAUUGCGUAGCUUCCUUGCGUGAUAAUCAGAUCAUGUAUAAAACGAAAGUGUGCCAAUUAUUCUGCGUGACACCUGUGUUCCUAUUACCGUUAUACAAAUAACCAAAGAAACCAAUCAAUGUGAAUGUGUCUGGUUUUUCAUGGAAUUUAAAUUUGUUUCGAUGGAAAAUAAACACCUGCUUUGUUUCAGAAAUGAGUAGUUCAAAUUGUUAGAUACAUAUGUAAAUGCAUUUAUAGUGGUGGAGCGUCGGUCCUUAACUGAAUGCUAACCUAACACUAUACCCAAUGUAUUAAUGGCGAGACGUACAAAUUUGGGAGAGUAUGUGCUCGUUUAUUACGAGUAUUAUUUCAUUUUCAAAUUGCGGUUAUGAACAGAGCUUAAAUAUGCUUGAAACAGCUGGAAUUUGAAAUGGGGGAGGAAGUGGUCAAGGAUAUUUGGUAGUGUAACAUGGGCGCUGUUUAACAUAAAAUAUCAGUUUUAGACGAGACGGAGAGAAGUAAAUGAUAAUUCCAAGGAAUUGGAAAAUAAAUAUUUCGUGGAGAAAUAUGCAGAAUAAAAAUAUACAACUCGAGUCGCAAAAUUCACAGGAAAAGGGAAAGAAACGGGACUGCAAUAAAAUACGAAGAGACAAAUACACGAGUUGCAUGUUACAAAACAUUAGAUAAGCUUUAUUAGUCGAUAUUUUACAGUUCACGUGCACGGUCUCGCGAUCAGCGUCUGCGAAUCGUGCUCGGUAUUCAAGAUCGAGCGUGCCGGCGCCGUUUUAUCUCGAAUUUCCAUGAGUGCUUCCCAUAAAUCAUAUCUAAUGCCACGAAGCUCUUCGUGUGAAUGGAACGGAAGUGAAUGAAAAAAUUCAAGUCGAGACAGCGCUUGCACGGCGAUCGUUUGAUAUGCGACUGAUCGUACAAUAGAUCUGUUCGUUGUUCGCGACACGACAGCAAGAACUUCUCCAUAACGUGUUUAACAUGCAA